AGUGAACGCUGGCGGUAGGCCUAACACAUGCAAGUCGAACAGCAGCACAGUAAGAGCUUGCUCUUACGGGUGGCGAGUGGCGGACGGGUGAGGAAUACAUCGGAAUCUACUUUUUCGUGGGGGAUAACGUAGGGAAACUUACGCUAAUACCGCAUACGACCUACGGGUGAAAGCAGGGGAUCUUCGGACCUUGCGCGAUUGAAUGAGCCGAUGUCGGAUUAGCUAGUUGGCGGGGUAAAGGCCCACCAAGGCGACGAUCCGUAGCUGGUCUGAGAGGAUGAUCAGCCACACUGGAACUGAGACACGGUCCAGACUCCUACGGGAGGCAGCAGUGGGGAAUAUUGGACAAUGGGCGCAAGCCUAAUCCAGCCAUACCGCGUGGGUGAAGAAGGCCUUCGGGUUGUAAAGCCCCUUUGUUGGGAAAGAAAAGCAGCAGGUUAAUACCCCGCUGUUCUGACGGUACCCAAAGAAUAAGCACCGGCUAACUUCGUG
rnacentral:rRNA from 1 species